AACGAACGCUGGCGGCAUGCCUAACACAUGCAAGUCGAACGAGACCUUCGGGUCUAGUGGCGCACGGGUGCGUAACGCGUGGGAACCUGCCCUUAGGUUCGGAAUAACUCCCCUAAAGGGGUGCUAAUACCGGAUAAUUUCUUCGGACCAAAGAUUUAUCGCCUUUGGAUGGGCCCGCGUUGGUUGAGCUGGUUGGUAGGGUAAAAGCCUACCAAGGCGACGAUCCCUAGCGGGUCUGAGAGGAUGAUCAGCCACACUGGGACUGAGACACGGCCCAGACUCCUAGGGGAGGCAGCAGUGGGGAAUCUUGGACAAUGGGCGAAAGCCUGAUCCAGCACGGCCGGGUGAGUGAUGAAGGUCUUAGGGUUGUACAGCUCUUUUACACGGGAUGAUAAUGACAGUACCGGGAGAAUAAGCUCCGGCUAACUCCGUG
rnacentral:rRNA from 1 species